GUGGGGAAUCUUCCGCAAUGGACGAAAGUCUGACGGAGCGACGCCGCGUGAGUGAUGAAGGUUUUCGGACUGUAAAGCUCUGUUGUUUGGGACGAAAGUGCCUGUUGCGAACAGUUACGGGUAUUGACGGUACUAAACGAGGAAGCCACGGCUAACUACGUGCCAGCAGCCGCGGUAAUACGUAGGUGGCAAGCGUUGUCCGGAAUUAUUGGGCGUAAAGAGCAUGUAGGCGGGAAUCUAAGUCUGUUGUUAAAAUGCGGGGCUCAACCCCGUAUUGCGAUGGAAACUGGGUUUCUUGAGUGCAGGAGAGGAAAGGGGAAUUCCCAGUGUAGCGGUGAAAUGCGUAGAUAUUGGGAGGAACACCAGUGGCGAAGGCGCCUUUCUGGACUGUGUCUGACGCUGAGAUGCGAAAGCCAGGGUAGCGAACGGGAUUAGAAACCCGUGUAGUCC
rnacentral:rRNA from 1 species